rnacentral:rRNA from 1 species
GACGAACGCUGGCGGCGUGCUUAACACAUGCAAGUCGAACGAUGAAGCUGGAGCUUGCUCCGGUGGAUUAGUGGCGAACGGGUGAGUAACACGUGAGCAAUCUGCCCUUGACUCUGGGAUAACUGCGGGAAACUGUAGCUAAUACCGGAUACUUUCACUGGAAGGCAUCUUCUGGUGAAGAAAGAAUUUCGGUCAAGGAUGAGCUCGCGGCCUAUCAGCUUGUUGGUGAGGUAACGGCUCACCAAGGCGACGACGGGUAGCCGGCCGGAGAGGGUGACCGGCCAGACUGUGACUGAGACACGGCCCAGACUCCGACGGGAGGCAGCAGUGGGGAAUAUUGCACAAUGGGCGCAAGCCUGAUGCAGCAACGCCGCGUGAGGGAUGAAGGCCUUCGGGUUGUAAACCUCUUUUAGCAGGGAAGAAGCGAAAGUGACGGUACCUGCAGAAAAAGCACCGGCUAACUACGUGCCAGCCGCCGCCGUAA